AUUUGGAGAGGAUGCUUCUGGCGCGGCGCCGUCCGAGUUCCUUGGAACAGGACGCCACAGAGGGUGAGAGCCCCGUACGGACGGACGCCUAGCCUCUACGAAGCUCCUUCGACGAGUCGAGUAGUUUGGGAAUGCUGCUCAAAAUGGGAGGUAAAUUUCUUCUAAAGCUAAAUACCGGCCAGAGACCGAUAGCGCACAAGUAGAGUGAUCGAAAGAUGAAAAGCACUUUGAAAAGAGGGUUAAAAAGUACGUGAAAUUGUUGAAAGGGAAGCGCCUGUGACCAGACUUGCGCCUCGCGGACCACCCGGCGUUCUCGCCGGUGCACUCUGCGUGGCGCAGGCCAGCAUCGGUUCUCCCAGGGGGACAAAGGCCGCGGGAACGUAGCUCCUUUGGGAGUGUUAUAGCCCGCGGCGGCAUGCCCCUGGGGGGACCGAGGACCGCGCUUCGGCAAGGAUGCUGGCGUAAUGGUCACCAGCGACCCGUCUUGAAACACGGACCAAGGAGUCAAGCAUUGGGGCGAGUGUAUGGGUGCCAAACCCGCACGCGAAAUGAAAGUAAACGCAGGUGAGAGCUUCGGCGCAUCAUCGACCGAUCCUGAUGUCUUCGGAUGGAUUUGAGUAAGAGCCUUACCGCUUGGACCCGAAAGAUGGUGAACUAUGCCUGAAUAGGGUGAAGCCAGAGGAAACUCUGGUGGAGG
rnacentral:rRNA from 1 species